GCACUCUUAGCUCAGCCUGUAGAGCAUUUCAAAAAUCCUGGGUUCGAAUCCCAGAUUGGGCA
rnacentral:tRNA from 1 species